ACAUAAAGUUACAAUAAAACAGAAAAUUUCGUACGUGGGUAACACAUCAGUGAUUGAUAUGAAAAAAAUAUUUUAUAUGAUGACUUUGUGUAAUUUGGUAGGUCUUGCAGUGAAAUCAACGUCUCGUAUACGAUUUAUUAUUCAUUAUCGGUCGCUGUAGAAAUAACAUCCAACAUAUCGCAGGAAAAAAUCCACCGGACAUCAGAGCCUUUGAUCAACUGCUGCUACCAAACAAUGCUCCUCAGUGUCCACGUUGCUAUUCAACAUUUCACUAGGCAUGUCAUCAUUUAAUAUGAUGUGAAAAUAAAAUAAAAUUCCAUGAAACUAUU